UCAUAAACUACUUUUGCUGCU
ensembl:piRNA 21ur-2406 ncRNA